AUAUGCAUAGGUUUUAUCCUGGCUUUGAGUAAACGCUAGUAAUUCGCUUAACACAUGCUAGUUAAUGAGUUUUACAAUUUAAAACUAAUGGCGUAAGGGUGAGUAAUGCAUAGAAACAAAAGAAAUAAAAGACAUUUUUUAUUUUGGCGGUUUAUGUAGGUUUAGGUAGUUGGUGCUUUAAUAGAGUACCAAGCCGAUGAUUCUUAGUUGGUCUGAGAGGAUGUACAACCACAUUGGGACUGAAAAAAGGCCCAAGUUCCAUUAGGAGGCAGCAGUGAGGAAUCUUGAACAAUGAGCGAAAGCUUGAUUCAGCGAAAUUACAUGAAGGAUGAAGUUAAUUCGUAAACUUCUUUUUUAAGUGAAAAUAAUGAUAUUAGCUUAAGAAUAAGCAUCGACUAACCUCGUGCCAGCAGUCGCGGUGAUACGGGGGAUGCGGGUGUUACUCAGCAUUACUGGGCGUAAAGAGUAUGUAUGGCGGUUUUUUUUAAUUUUAGUUGAAAAGUAAAGGUAUUACCAUUACAAAAACUUUAAUAUUAUAAAACUUUGAGUGUAUAUCACGUAAAUAGUAUUUAUAGAGUAAAGGUGAAAUUUUUAUAUACUAUAAAGACUGUCGAAUGAUGAAAAUUAUUUACUAGACUACACUGACGCUAAAGUACGAAGGCGUGGGGAUCAAAAAGGAUUAGAGACCCUUGUAGUCCACGCUGUCAACGAUGGAUAUUGAUCAUUAAAAUUUUUUGUGAAUAAGCAAACGCGUUAAAUAUCCCGCCUGGGGAGUAUGAUCGCAAGAUUUGAACUCAAAGGAAGUGACUGAGAUUCGGUACAAACGGUGGAACAUGUGGUUUAAUCUGAUAUAACGCAUAAAAUCUUACCAAUUCUAGACUAAAAAAAAUAAAUUAAUUAAAAUUUUAUAUAUUUAAAUAUUUUUUUUUGCAGGUGUCGCAUGGCUGUCGUCAGUUCGUGUUGUGAAAUGUAUGGUUUAUUCCUUUAACGAGUGUAAUCCUUUUAUUUUUUAUAAAAAAAUAGAUUAUAUAUUAACUAUAUAAUGAAAUUAGGAGGACGUCAAGUAGGUAUGACCCUUAUGAAUUGGGCUACACACGUGUUACAAAAGUAAUUACAAAAAAAUAAAAAUUUGAAAAAAUUUUUUAUUUCAUAAAUGUUAUUUAAGUUCGGAUUAUUUCUUGAAAUCUAGAAAUAUGAAGUUGAAAUCGUUAGUAAUCGGAAAUUAGAACGUUUCGGUGAAGUGGGAUCCGGAUCUAGUACACACUGCCCGUCACGCCAAGGGAAUUGUUUUUGUUGGAAAAUUAAAUGUUUAUAUUUUUUAAUUAAAUAUUUUGUAGUAUUAUUCUAUAAAAGUAUUUUUUAUAAAUAUUUAUAAUUAUGUUUAAUUGAAUGCAAAGAUAGUGACCAGGGUGAAGUCGUAACAUGGUAGUGGUAGGGGAACCUGCUGCUGGAUAGAAAAUUUU
rnacentral:ncRNA from 1 species